UGCAAAGAAAAAUAAUAAAUUAUACAACAAAUCCCAUAAAAGAAUAAGAAAUAUUUAUCACAAAGAAAAAUGCAGGCAAAGGAUGUAUACCUUUGCCAACAACACCCUCAAGCCCCCGGAGAACACUAAGAGAAGCAGCAAGAUCAUUGGCCCAAAUGUUCCUUCCAUCAACCACUCCAGCAAAGAGGUACUUGCCAGCAGGGAAUCCACUCUUGAUCAAUUCAAGGGUCUUCGUUCCACGAACCAAAUCAAAUCCAUAAGCGGUGACACCCUUCAAAGAAGUGAGGGUCUGGAAUGCCUCAGCUGGAACAUCAGCAAAGUAGGUCUCAACAAGAACAUUCAAGCCAGACAGAGUUGACUCUAGCUCGGCAUAAGCCUCACUGAAUGCAUGCAAUUUGUGUGAGUCAAGAUCCAUAACAAGCAAUGGCUCAUCAAACUGAAUCCAGGAAGCACCAGCAGCCUUAAGCUCAGAAAUAACUUCCCUGCAGAAGUGUUAAUUGGUACAACACAGAUUAAUGAUGUCACUCGAUAUAUACACACAGAGUUAUUUAGCACAUACACAUUUAUAAAUCAGUAAUAGGUGAUAAUUUCUUACUUGUAGAUUGGAAGGAUUUUCGGAAGAAGAGAAAGAAGAGAAAAGGUCUUCGCAACACCCUUGGCAGGCUUAGACAGCAACAAGUAUGACACAGGGCCAAUAAGCACUGGGACAGUUUCAACUCCAAGCUGCAGCAUUAGACAAGUGAUCGAUAUUAGCAUCUCACAAACUUGAUCUGAUUGAUAGAAAGUUACAAGCAAGUUCAGAAUUCGUUUAAUGAAAUCUCUAUGAAAAAUCUUCAGGGUCCACAAUGUGUUGAAAGUACCCUUUUCAAGUAAUUUAUCUUAAGACUAUUUUGCAAACAGUAUUGCUUUCCUUACAGAUCAAAUAAAUCAAACAACAUAUGAACACAUUUACUGAACCAAGUCUAAGUUCAAAGCUCUAUAAAUAAAUGUCAAUGAAUCUAUAGUAAAUUCUAUUGCAUCCUAAGCUAAAGAUGAGCAUAUCAUAUAAGAAUUUCAAGGUGAACGUAACCCAAUUUCAAUAUAUUGUAGAUUCAGAUAUCAAACGAAAUAAAAUUUGUAAAUAUAGACAGAACUGAGAAUAAACACUCACCCCCUUAGCCUCCUUGUACUCAGUCACAGCCUUGUGGGAAGCGUAGGAGAACUUAACAUCGGGUCCCAAUUCAGGAACAAUGAAAUGACUGCAUCAACACGAAGCCAAACACGCGUCAGCAUUCAGUACAAAACCAUUACACCAUAAAUAACUUGAAAUGCCGCUCUUCCAAGUAGUGAAUACUUACUAGUUGGUGUCGAACCACUUGGUCAUUUCCAUAGCGGGAACAGAGGCGUUUCCUCUGGCCAUGGAGAAGUAAACAUCAAAUCCAAUCUCGCCGCCGUUCCAGUUAUACCUCGGGGGCACGGCACCGAGCAUUGCGGUGGUGUCGAGCACUUGGUCGUAGUAGGAGAAAGUGUUGCUGGGAAUGUAUUUGAUCCCGGCCUGGGACAUCUGUUUCCAGAUGGAGGAUCUGAGAUCAGCGGACACCUUUUGCAAAUCCUCAGCGCUGCUCUUGCCAUCCCAGAAGGAUUCCAACGCGAACUUGAGCUCCCUCUUGGGGCCCAUGCGUGGGUAUCCAACGAUGUGAGAUGCCAUUUUACUGUCAUAAUCACGUCAUCAAUGAAUCGAAAAUCAGUCACUUUCAUUAAAUCAAGAAAAUAUUCAUUCAAAUGGAUGGGUCAUUGCUAUUACUGCUCAAAUCAAAUGAAAUCAAGAACACUUAUCAGAGCAUAAAAUCUUAAAUUAAUUUUUUUAUAAAAAAAUAAAAAACCAGUUGAAACAAGCUGAUAAUAAUCCAAGAGUUUGAGAUGAUUUUUUUCUUUCUGUAAUCACAUGAACAAUUAUGUACUUUCAGUCAUUUUUGAAGGAUUAAAACAAAAAAUUCUACAAAUAGAUUCUGAAAAGAAGAAUCUAAAAAUAGAUUCAAAAACAGUAACACAAGUAGAGUUCAAAUUGUUUUUCGGAAAAGAUUAAUUACAGAUCUGAUUGAUUCACGUUCAGAUCUAGCAAAAUCACGGCAGCCAAACACUAGAUCUAACACUAACAGUCACUCACCAGUCCAUUAGAAAAUGAAAUCAAGUUCAAAAUUCUUUUAAAGUUAAUUCUUUUUUAGAAAAUGACCAGAUUUUAGUUGAGUAUUAGUGAGUUUUUUACAAAAUAAUUUAUUUUUGUUUUUUAGAUCCAAAAGUUCGGAAAUCAAAACCAUGUUCAAUGCUUAUUCAUGAUUAACGGCGUAAAAACGCUACUGCAGAGAAGACAUAACGAAAAUGGGAACCGUACCAAACAGAGAAAGAAGAGCAGAGAAAUUGAGAGUCGAGAGGAGAGAGAGAAGAGAGCGGCGAGUUUGGGGGAGUGCCCUCUCCGUUAUUUAUAGCCAAAAAUCAAAUCUGGUUUGGUGGUUGCCUUUGGCGUGCCAACCUGUAGAUCUGAGAUUUUUCAUCUUAAUUUCUUUCUCUUAUUUAUUUAUUUAUUUAUUAUGAUUUUCAGUGCAGUUCAUAAAAUAUAGAGCUGACGCGCGCUUUUCUGAUGUGGCGCGUGAAUUGGAAAUGCGGUAGGUCUUUGUGGGCCCCACGGCACGGUCAGGACUGAAGGAAAAAUGUGAGAAGUUAUCAUAAUUUCAACAGUGCCAUAAUUAGCAAUUACACCACCAAAUAUUUCUUGAGUUUUUUUUUUUUGAUUGCUUUAAAUGCAGAGUUGUUAUGAAUUGUGUUAAUUGUAGAGUUGUUAUGAUUAGAUUACAUUAUAAUUCGUCACAAUUAUGAUAGGUAUGUACGUAUAUAAUAAUUUAUGAGUAAUGAUAUAACCACAAACUCUUAUACAAACUUAUUUUGUACAAAUUGAUGUGGCAUGAUAAAAUUAGUUGAAUUAAAUAUUACUUGAUCCACAUGAUUUGUUAUUAUUAUUUUAUAUUUUCAUUCAACCAAUGAAUUAAUGACACGUCAGUUUGUACAAGAUAAGUUUGUACAAGAGUUUAUGGUUGUAUCAUCACUCAUAAUUUAUAUAAGAUCUCGAAUAUUUAAAAAAUUUAUAAAUCAUUAUUUUCAUGUACAUUUACCUGGUAGCAAUGACAAUAACAUAAAAUAAACUCCAAACAAGAAUGGAUUAUAUUAUUUAUGUUAUUUUAUAGCUUUUUAAUUGAUUUUUAAAAGGAUUAAUUGUUAAUCAUUACUCUCCAACCGUAAUCACCAUUAAAUAUUUAUUUAAUUUAAUAGUCGGUAGAUCAUAAAUAAGAUUAGAAUAUUUAAUGGACAAUCUAAUUGCUACUACAAUUGUUAUCAUUUUUUUAAGGUAAGGGAUUAGACAAUACUCAAAUUUAUUUUUUAACCCCUUACUCCCUAAAGAUUCGAAUUUAACUAACUAAUUAAAUAAGACUGCUUAAAAACCACUCAACCACAUCUUUUGGGGACCAAUUAAUAUCGAUGUUUAAACUGAGGUUUAUUAUUAAAUUUUUUAAGUUUCAAGUUUCAACCGCUAACAACAUUAUCAUCGAUUAAUGAUAAAUAUAAUAAUAUUUCAUCAAAAAACCAUUUAACACAUCCAUCCAUAUUAAACAUAAGUAAAAAAUUUAUCAUGCAUUUCAAAUAUAUUUUUCAUCCUAAAAGUUAUGGAGAAAAUCUUGAUAUCAAAACUUACAAUGUAAUUAUGGGAUGUAAUUUUGCAUUUGAGGUCAGCACAACUUAAAAAUUACUAUGAAUGAAAAUUUAUAAUAAGCAGACACCACAAAAAAAAAUUAUUUAUAAGUAUUACAAUCAUGCAGUUUUAUUUAAGUAUUUAACCAAGUCAUUCAAUUUCUAAUUAAGACGGUAUAAAUUAGAUUUGGGCUGCCUAAGACCAAAAGUCAAAAAAAAAAAAAGAAUAUUCCUAAUAAGCAGCCUACCGCGGUCACGCGCCUUAAGAAACGCUUGGACUUAGCACACGAUUUUAAUCCAAAAUGUAUAAAAAAGGAAAAAUUUAUGAGGUGUAUAAUUAUCUUGAGUUGUUAUAUUUUGAAGAAACAAUGAAGAAAGUUGGUGGCCGAAGUUGAUCCGGGGCGAAUGGUGGUGGGCCCACGUUGUUGCAUUAUAAUUGGAGUUAUUGUAAUUUUUCUUAUAAUUAAUAAACUCCAUUUUUCAAAGAAAAUAAAUAAAUAAAUACACUCCCGAUUACGAAAAUAUCAUUUCAUGAGUGUCAAAGUUAGAGCUGGCAAAAUUUGACACGACCCGAUUACCUGACACGAACACGACAUAAAUAAAUAAGUAUGGAUCGUCAAAUUUAACACGAUUAUUAAAUGGGUCGGGUCUGGGUCAACACAAUUUUUUUCCGUGUCGGGUUUGGGUUAAAAUUCUUGACCCAUUUACCCGAUCAAUGACCCGAUUAUAUUUUCUAUUUUAAAAUAAUUUACAUAUUCUUAUAAUUAAAACUCAAAUAUUAGAGAUAUUUUUUUUAUUCUUUAAAAUGGUGAAUAUAAACACAGUGUUUUAUUUAUAAAAUUUUACAUACAUUUAGAGCUUCAAUAGUGUAAAUGUGUAAAAAUUAAUAGACAUGUAUAUUUUAUAAUAUUGAUAUAUAAUAUUAUAUAUAUAUAAUUAAAACAUCAAUAGUGUAAAUGUGUAAUAUAUUGGUAGAUAUAUAUAUUUUAUAAUAUCGAUAAAUUAUGUAUGUAUGUAUUUAUGUACAUACGUAUGUAUGUAUUUAUGUAUAUACGUAUGUAUGUAUUUAUGUACAUACGUAUGUAUGAUAGUGUGUAAAUAUUUUAUGUAACUUUUGUUCAAUAUAUAGAUAUUAAACGGGUUAUUGGGUAACCCGAUUGUUUUUCCGUGUCGGGUUUGGGUCUCAAUAUUUUGACACGAUUAUUAAAUGGGUCGGGUUUGGGUCGACCUAAAUUUGACACGACACGACACGAACACGACCCGAUGACCCGUUUUGCCAGCUCUAGUCAAAGUGACCGUCACCUACGCAUCGCGUUUGUUGGGCGGGGUGGGUAAGGUGGGGCGAGGAGUUUGUUUGAUCGUCUGAUUACUUUGAUUUUGAUGAAACGUAUGGACGACGGCGAUGGCUUGCCAGCAAGUGGGUUUAUCAUGAUUUUGAUUGUAUUCGGGGAGAUGCUUAUGUAUAUCCUCAAAACUUCUUGGAAAUGAAAACCGCUGGGGUGGCAAAUCUUGACCAAUAAAGUGUGCGUGAUGUUGCGUUUAUAAAUUUCAAUAAUACUAUUGGCCGAUUGAGAUUAUUUUUAAAAAGUUUAAAAAUAAUUUUUAAAGGUUAAAUGUUAAUUUUAAUAUUGAAUAAAUUUUUAAAAAUUAUUUUUGAUAAAAUCAUUUUAUCCUCCAAUAAAUUUUAAAAAAUAGCGAUACAGUAAUUUUUUAAAAUCUAAUUUUAAUAAUCAAAACUAUUUUUUUAUAUAAUUUUAUAGAUAUCCGCAUAUAUAUAUUAUAAAAAUUCGAAAUCAUUAUUAUUAAUUAGGAAAUAAAAUCAUUAACUUUUAAGAAAUUAUUAUUAUUACCAAUUAUACUGACAUAACAAAAUAAAAAAUUAAUUAAUAUUAUAAAUAUUUAUUUCAGUUAUCAACUAUUAUAUAUACACAAUAAAAAAUAUUUUAUAUACAUAUUUAUAAAUGUAUAAAUAAUUUUUAUUCAAUAUUAUAUCGAAUUAAUCAUUUACAUUCUUGCAACAAGUUAACAAUAAAAUUUACCAAACACAUACGAUUGUUUUUAAAACUCAUAUUAUUUUUUUAAAAAAAAAUUACUAAACCUUUAACUGAUUCUCUUACAACUGAUUAUUUCUACAGUACAAUUAACAACAAUUAUUUUAAAAACUAUAACAUUUUCAAACUAGCCCCAUGACAAUAUUGUUAUUGUUGUUUUUCUUACUCUUAUCAAUAAAACUACGUUGCACAUAAGUGCAUAAAAAUUCACACAAAAUAAACUAUUUAACUUUAGGGUAUUAAUUGAAAAAAAAAAUCAGAUUAAGGUGAAUAAAUAUCAGAAAAUAACAAAUAGAUAAACUCUCACACUCUUUAAAAAAAUUAAUUUUAUAAUUUUAUUUAAAACCAACAGAUAUUACCAAACUUAACGGAUCAAUGUUCCAAUGUUUUCUUUUUAAUUUCAAAACCAACAGAUAUUCUUUGUUCAUUAUAUGACCUCCAAACAAAUAAUUUCAUUAAUAAAAUAAUAAUGAAAAGUAUCGUGGUGAGUACAGAGUAAUUCGGUGGCUAAUAAAAGUCUCUAUUUUUCGUCUCUGUUUUUCAUUUUAACUCUUGGGGUUGGUGCCACUUCGGCCUUGGUCGGAGUGGUGGGCUGCUGCCCUCACAAGUAUUGUGAGGACAGUGGUUCAAGCCCCCACAAAUAUUUUUGUGGGGGCUAACGUACUUAUUUAUUUAAUAUUUCAAAAAUUUCUUCUCCCUCGUGCAAUACGAGUGGAGUAUGGACAUCCCUCCUCUAUAAGGGAUUAUUUGUCUGGGCAUGUACUUCACAGAAUUCAAUGUAAUAAUAUAAGUCUCAAUCAUAUAUUUUUGAUUGUAAAUAUCAAUAUAAUAUAUCUGCUAUAAUAGCAGUUGUAAAUAUCUGUGUAAUGCAAUAAUAUGAUAAUUAAUCAUUAUUCAAAAAAAAAACUCUUGGGGUUGGUAGGCUCGUGAAUGGUCCACGUAACCUCUGGACGUAACACUCAAACAAAGACAGCACAAGGCACAUGAAAAAUGCCUAAAAACCGUAAAACCGUGACGUGUUCAACAUAUUAAUAAAUUUAUACUGUGUUUUCUUUUUUUUUUUAAUACUGUGUUGAUAAAGCACUUACGAUGGAACGACCAAUUCUAUUACUUGCAAAACUAAUUAAUAUUUCACUCUAUCAUCUAACUAAUGGAAGGCCAUCUUAAUUGAGGUUGCAAUAGUUAGAAAGUAGCGGGAAGGGUGGCCAAUGCUCCAUAUUAAUUUGCAUCAAUCCCUUUCUGGUGAAGAAGUACGGGUGAAGUAGAGGUCAAAGUUAGAAGAUGAAGGGUGUGUUUGGGAAUUGAGAGUGAGGUGCUGUAGUUUUUUAGCUGCAGUUGCUGUGAAAUAAAAGUUAUAACUGUGGAAUAGAAGUUGAGAAAAAAAAUUUGUUAAGCUGCCAAAGCCCAGUUACAAAUGUUACCAAACACCUUAGUAGCUAGGCUUUGGCAGCCCAUCUACCCCAUCACACUCCCAAACGGAUUAGAAGGGGACCGGGAUUGCUUUGUCAUAUUUGAAAAUGAUUUUGAAAAAAUAAAAAUUAAGUUCAGAAUUUGGUAAAUUCCUUUAAAAUUUCUUUUAGCAAAAUCACUCUCUCCUUUAGAUUUUGAAAAGUAUGGAAUGAGUAGUUUUUUAAAAUUUAAUUUUGAAAUUCGGAUUCAUAUUUAAUAUAAUACCAUAUAUCAUAACAUGUAUUAUAAAAAUCUAAAAUUAUCCUUAUUCAAUCAAUUAAGAAGUAAAAUCUUACAUUUAAAGAUAUUAUCAUUAUCAAUUAUAUUUAGAUAAUAAAAAAUACAAUUAAUAAAAUAAAAAUAUUUAUUUUAGUUAUCAAUUAUUAUAUAUAUACAUAAAAUGUAAUUAUAUAAACAUAUUUAUAAAUGUAUGUGUAAAUUAAAUUUGUAGAUUUAUGUUUAUAUAGAUCAUUUGCAUUCUUAUCACAUUUUAAAAGUGAGAUUUAUUAAAUAUAUAUAUGAUUAUUUUUAAAAUUUACAGCACUUUUUAAAACAAAAGUAUCAAAAGUUUAAUUGAUUCCUUAUUUUUACUGUACAACUAACAGUAAGAUGUGUUUGGUUCAAGUAUAAAAUGAUGGGAUUGGACAAUUUUAAGAUUAAAUAAUCCUAAUGCAAUGUUUGGUACCAAAAAUAAUUGUGGGAUAAAAAUAGUGGACCCCACCAUUUAAUCCAACACAAUGUCAAAAUUUUAUCACAAAGGGGGGUGUGGGAUAAGCUAAAACUUAAACGUAGGAUAACAAAAAAAAAGCCCAAAAUUUUAUACAACACAGUGAUUUUUUUUUUUUUUUGAGUAUGUCAUCAUCCAAUGAUAGUAUAUAUGCCAGAACACUCUUUUGACGUUAAUGAUAUGUAAUAUUUUCAUAUAUACAGCUAGUGACAUUGUUAUGUAAUUUCUUUUUCAUUUAUAGAUUUAUAUUAUUAUUAUAUUUGUUGAUGAUAUUCUUGUUAUGUUUAUAAUUAUAUUAUUUAGUAAUUUAUAAGUUUAAAAACUAUAACAUGUUAAAUAUAAGAAAAACUUUAAGCGAAGAUUUUGUAUUUUUUAACAAAUUUACCAAUAAUUUUUUAUUUAAGUUAGAUUAUAUUCCAUGUCAUUUUAAAAUAAAUCUAAGAUAAUUUUGAUAAAUUAAUAAAUAAGACAUAUUAUUAGUUACUAACCAAUUUCAUGGCAUACCAAACAUGAGAUAUGAUUAUUUACAGUCUAAUCCAACAUUGCACCAAACGUAAUAGAGUAUUAUAUAUAAUCCAAUGUUAUCAAAUCCAAUCAUAUCUUAUCCAAUCCGAUCCGAUCCAGUCUAAUCCAAUUUGACAUACCAAACAAGCCCUAAUUAUGUUAAAAACUACAUCAUUACCAAACUGACCCUUAAUACAAUCUCAUACAUACAUACAUAUAUAUAUAUAUAUUAAAAAUUAAAAAUUAUCUUUAUUUAGUUAGGAAAUAAAACCAUUAUAUUUAAAUAGAUUAAUAUUAUUACUAAUUAUAUUCAGAUAACAAAAUUAAUAAAAUAAAAAUAUUUGUUUGAUUUAUCAAUUAUUAUACACACAUAUUUAUAAAUGCAUGCGUAAAUAAAAUUUUAUAGAUUUAUGUCUAUUUAAAUCAUUUGCAUUCUUAUAACAUUUUAAAAAAAGAAAAGAAAAGUGAUUUACCAAAUACAUGUAAUUGUUCUUCAAACUUACAACACUUUUAAAAUAGAAUUUAAUAAAUGUUUAAUUAAUUUUUUCACAGCUGAUUAUUUUUAUGGUAUAACUAACAAUAAUCUAUAAACUUAUGGUAAAUAUUUGUGUGAAUGUUGGUCCAUGUAAAGAAGUAAAAACAACGCAUAUAUCAAGCAAUAAGAUAUCAAAACUCUUAGUAAAAUACAUAUACUAAUGAAAGAAUGACAGCAAUGCAAUAAAUAAGAUUAUAAUAUAAAUUAUUAAAAUUGUAUAUUAAAAAUUGAUGUAUGAAAUUCUUUUUAUUUUAGUGAUAGAUAAUGUGAUAUAUUUGAAUAAUUUGAUUAAAUGAAAAGAAAAAUAACAAGUAUGGUUGUGGAGGAAAUAAACCAUUGAACUGUGGAAUGUUAUUAAUUAUUGCUAUUUCAUUAUGUAACGUCCUGAUAAUAAGUACAGUGUUAUAGUAUAUUGAUGGGUGGUGAUAUUGUCACCCCUUAAAUUGUGUAAAGUCAACCUCAUUUACAAAUUUUUUGAUAUAAAUUAAAAAGUACAUUAGUUUUAAUAAAUUAUAUAUUUAUUGAAUAAACUAGAACCGUUAGGGAGCUGUAAUGUUAGCACUGUUUUAACUUAUUAUAAAAAAAAAAGUUAUGAUUUGAUCAUAACUCUAAUUUAGAAAAGAAAAAAGAGUUGAAUUGCUAACAUACUUAAAAAUAAAAUAAAAACAUUAUUAUUAGAUGAAAAAUUGUAAAACUUAAGGGGGCAUUUGCAAGUCCGCCACUACUCAAUAGAGCAUUAUUCAGUACUCGUUAAUAUAUCUCGAACUUUUAGGUUUUUUUAAUAUAUUUUUAAUACAUUUUCUAGAACAUUUAGAUAAAAAGAGUCAGUACUCCAAUUGAGUUGUGAAUAAACAUUUAGAUAAAAAGAGUCAAUACUCCAAUUGAGUUGUGAAUAAACUCAUGUUAAAAAAAAAAAAACUCAUUUUCACACUUGAAACGAUUAGUAAAUGGGUGAUACGAAUUUAACUUGGUCAAUAAUAUAUACCAUCUUAAGUUAACUUCAACUCAUUGAUCUUCUAUAGGGUUGAUCAGCCUGCCACAAGGCCCACAAAUUAUCACCUCUAAUGCUUUUGCAACAGUCGUUAUAAAUGCUGACAAAAUGAAACUUCUAUAUAUUUUGGUUUUUUUUUAUUUCUAUGAAAUAUAAGGCCCUUAUGGCAAAUUUCCAUCCAGCGUGAAAUUUGCUAGUUUGGCCUUGGUACUGUGGCACAUGCGUCAUGCAUGCGUGGCUGAGAUGCUUCUAAAACUAAUAAAUUAUGAAGAAUUCCAAAUUCGUACCAAAAAUAAGAGAAUAGGAGCUUGUCAUAGGUGUCCGCGGAUCGGAUUUUAUGGGUUAAACAUUAAUUCAUAUUUGAUUCGUGAUUUUGUAGAUUAUAAAUUUUUAAUUUAAUUCAAUUUAUGGAUUAGUGAAACUCAAUACAAAUUCAAUCCAUAUAUAUGCAAAUUAGAUGCGGAUUUAACCCAAUGCAUAUUCAAUCCAUCAUUUGGCGGAUUGAUUUGCAAAUUAAAAGUUUUUAAUUUUGUCCAAUCUAAAAAGUAAUUAAAUUAAAAAAAUCUAAUAUAUAAAUAAUUGAUUAAAUAAAAAAAUCUAAUGUAAAAAUAAUUUUACUACCAAUUAAAUUCAAAAUUGAACAAGAUUUAAAUAAAUUUAGAAUAAUACAUUCAAAAUUUUAAAAUAUAACACACCGAAAAAAAAAUUCAUUUAUUUAGAUCAAUACAUGAAAAUUAACUAAAAUUAUGAAUUUAAAUGUUGAAACUUGAAAGCUUGGAUGUAACAGGAAGAAUUUAAGAAACUUGAAGAGCUUGAAAAGAAAGUAAGAAAUUAAGUUUAAUUACCUCAAGUGGUGAAGUGAAACAGUGAUUGGCUUGUGCGUGCGGUGGGAUAGAGAUUUGGUGUUAUAUGUCAAAAUAUUUUGUUUGGCUUGGGGUUUUUGUUUUGCUUUAGAAAUUUUAAUGUUUAGGAAACUAUAUUUGCUUAUUUAAUUAUUUCUUAUUUUAUAUUGUUAUCGAAUAAAAUAUAAUAUUUUGUUAAUUUAGCUAUAAUUUUAUGCUGAAUAUAUUUAUUUAAAACGAUUUUAUUAAAUAAAUGUGCAUAUUUAACGAAGGUCUCUGAAAUUUCAACCUGCCUGCUAAUGAUAGCCAAUACGGCACGACCCACCAAAUGUCGGCCCACGCGGGCUUGUGGGCCAUGACGACUUUUUUUGUAAGGGCCCGGCACGGCCCACGGCACGAGUCCGUGCCCAAAAAAAGCCCACCUACCUUUUUUUUUUUUGUCCACAUGUUCAGCGUGCCUAAAAAAACCCACGUGCCUGACGUGCUUUUUUAAGCCCACCAGCCUAAUAGUAACAACAACAACAACAAUAAUAAUAAUUUCAUAGAAAUAAUUAAUGAAAAAUAAAAUAACAAUUCUAGAAUAACAAUUACAUCUAAUUUUAUUUGAACAACUAAUAUUAUAAUUGCACAUAAACUCUAUUGAAUGAAAAUGUAAUUUUUAAUUUAUUAUAAAAAUAUUUUGUUCAUAAUUUUAUUUUUUUGUGCGUAAAUAUGAAAAAUAUUUCAUUCACAAAUGAAACAUAUCUCCAUUAACUAUUAACUAAGUUAUGAUUUCAUAAAUGAAAUAUUAAUGUCGUAAAAUUUUUUAUUUAUCAUUUAUAAAAUCAUGAUAUUUAUUUAUCCAUUUAAUAAAUUAUAAACAUAAAAAAAUUAGAAUACUUAUUUAAACUAGGACUUAAAUUAAUUUUAAAAAGCCUAUACUAAAAAAAUAUAUUAAAAUUUUUAAUUUCAAGGUAUUUAUAAAAUCAUGAUAUUUUAUAUUUAUUUUUCAUUAAAAAAUUUUAUUUUGAUAUACUUUGGCCCACGUGCUAUUGGUGGCCCACGGGCCGCGUGCUUAGCCCACCAAUAAAGUGUGCUUAUUACAUGCCUUUUCGCGUGCCGUGUUUUGCCCCAUCUCUAAUCAUACCGUGCUUUUAAGGCCUGCGUGCCUAAAAUUCUAGGCCCGCAUGCCGUGCCGUGCCGUGCCGUGCCUCGUGCCGCCUGGCCCAUUGGCCAUCCCUACUGCCCGCCAACCACAUUUGUCCAAGAUCAAUUUGUAGGAAAAAAAUUUGAAAAUCAAUAAUUUAUUUAAUUAAUUGUUAAUGUAGGCAUUUGAAUCCCCACAAAAUCUGGGUGUCAGUUCUAGACUUCUGGUGAUAUAUUUUUCUAAUUAAGGAAUAAAAUAUUUUUGUCAUUUUUUUAAUAUUUUAAUUUACCAGGCAUAUCAACUAAUUAAUUUUUCUACUUAGACUAUUAAUUCAUUACGUGCGCAAUCUGUAGCCCGGCGCUCCAAUCCCAUGCAUGUUACACACAACUCAAUCAUUAUUUAUUUAUUUAUUUAUUUUGACCAACAACUCAAUGUUUUUUAUAGAGCUGUCAAAAUUUGACACGACCCGAUUACCCGACACGAACACGACAUAAAUAAAUGGGUAUGGGUCGUCAAAUUUAACACGAUUAUUAAAUGGGUCGGGUCCGGGUCAACACGAUUUUUUUCCGUGUCGGGUUUUGGGUUAAAAUUCUUGACCCAUUUACCCGAUCAAUGACCCGAUUAUAUUUUCUAUUUUAAAAUAAUUUACAUAUUCUUAUAAUUAAAACUCAAAUAUUAGAGAUGAUUUUUUUUUAUUCUUUAAAAUGGUGAAUAUAAACACAGUGUUUUAUUUAUAAAAUUUUACAUACAUUUAGAGCUUCAAUAGUGUAAAUGUGUAAAAAUUGAUAGACAUGUAUAUUUUAUAAUAUUGAUAUAUAAUAUUAUAUAUAUAUAUAAAAUUAAAACCUCAAUAGUGUAAAUAUGUAAUAUAUUGGUAGAUAUAUAUAUUUUAUAAUAUCGAUAAAUUAUGUAUGUAUGUAUUUAUGUACAUACGUAUGUAUGAUAGUGUGGAAAUAUUUUAUGUAACUUUUGUUCAAUAUAUAGAUAUUAAACGGGUUAUUGGGUAACCCGAUUAUUUUUCCGUGUCGGGUUUGGGUCUCAAUAUUUUGACACGAUUAUUAAAUGGGUCGGGUUUGGGUCGACCUAAAUUUGACACGACACGAAACUGACACGACAUGAACACGACCCGAUGACCCGUUUUGCCAGCUCUAGUUUUUUAAUAUGAAAAGGUAUUGGUUAGCUUUGUCUUUAGUUUUUUCAACUUAUAAUAAGUUUGUAUUAAGGCUCCCUUUGGUACAGAUUUUCAAGUAAAACUUAUUUAGGGUUAUUUUUAGGGACCUCCCCUGAGGUUUGGUGUAUUAACAAUCUGAUAGAAAGUAUUCACGUAAUUACAAAGACCUCCCCUGACAUUUGUAUUAUGUUAAGUGGACUGUUAUUGACUAUUGAAAAUCCAAAAAUACCCUUCCUGCCAAAAUAUUUCUUUAUUCACUGAUGAACUGAUGGGUAAUUCGUGCCAAAAUCACAAAUUACUUAAGAAGAUGAAAAUAUCCAUUGGAUAAAAAAAAUGAAAUUGCUUAAUAAAAAAAUUGACAUUGCAUAAUAAUAAAAAAAAUUGAAAUAAUGUGCGGCGGCAUAGCUGCAUCUUGCAUGCAUAUUAUUAUUGUGAUUUUUUUAUUACAAACUCCUUCAUAACUAAUACAUGCCACAAGAGCAGAGCUAUUAAAAGAAAUGAUUUUCAUAUUGUAAACUUGAUAGUACAGGUGUUGGCACCGACCAUAAAACCCUUAUGAUACCAAUCUUUGCUCCAUCCAUAUUUAAAUCCAGAUCAAGUAAAUAUUAAAUUGGAUUUCAGGUCCUGAAAAUCCUACUCUAUAAUUGAUAUCUUCGAGUUUUGUUGGUGCCUCAAACCUGGAUCUAGAGCAUCAUCUCUGUCAUACUCGGAACACCUAAACUAAUGGACUUGCUGCAGCUGCUUAUUCUUCUUCUGAAAUGAUGCACGCAUAUAGAUUACAGACUUUGAAAUAAGAAAUACAAUAAACAACAUGUAAUCGAACUUAAGAUUUCGGCACACUUGUUUGAAAAUUAGAAUCAAACAAGGAAAAUGGCAAGUCAAUAUUUUUUAAUCUAGAAAAAGGGAAAUUUCAAAGUUUAUCACAUGCCAAAUUCAUAGUCUUGCAUCCACUAUUUUCUAGUUUGAAUAACAAACAAAAGCCUUAGACAAAAACACAGAGAACAUCUCACAUGGGAGCAAAAAUUGUGUGUAGAACAAUAUACUUAAGUUACAUGUGAUUACAAUCACAUUAUUUAGCAAAUACAAAAUUACCUUCUCAAAAAAAAAAAAAAAAAAACAACACCACCAAAUUAUUGAAGGUAUUACAACAAUAAGGCAAAAGAACACCAAAGGCAUGCACAAACCGAAACUAACACACAACUCAAUUAGUGUCAUGACCCCAAACUGAACAAUCAUAUAAGCCAUUGUGGGCUCUCUAAAAGAUUAUCACAUUAUAAGCAAACAGAAACCUAUAUUUGAUGAACUACAUCUAGUACUUACACAACUCUUAAAUCAUUAGGAAAUUGCUCUUAUCAGUCAUUACCCAAUAGUUUUUUUCAACUCAACACUAACAACCCCAAAGAGAAACAACAUCCAGCACCAUUUUCAUUAAUUAAAACAGACCCAUUGUUAUUUUUAAUCAAUAAAAUAACAACAAUAUCGUGUAAGCCACUGAUUCAAGCAUUCAAGCUGUGUUUUCGAAGACUGACCUCUUCUUGCUAUCUAAUUCCAGUCACGAUAGACGCUAGAUGCCGGCAAUACUCGCUUCUUGGAAGCUCUGGACCACCGCACGACGUCAUCUUGUGCAGUAGAUGAAAAUAAAUCAAUGAUUUCAGAAAUUAUUUGUGAGUUGCAGACGCUUCUUCUCCAUGGAUGAAAAUGAUGGUGGGUUUUGUUCAAGUGUAAGCUGUGUUUACGAGGAGAAGUACACUUUGUGAAAAAAUCAUUUUCUUUCAUCUACUGGAUAAUGACUUUGGACUGGGUAAUGGUGUGUUUAAGUCUCUAUUUCACGGACAUUGAAGCAUAUUUUGCUUGAAUUUUGAUUUUGUUUAAAUUUCAAGUUUACUUUUACUUGUUUACCCUUUUAUACUGACGCUUAUGUAUUUUUAUACUAACGUUAAGGGAGGUCUUUGUAAUUAUAUGAAUACUUUCUAUCAGACUGUUAAUACAACAAACCUCAGGGGAGGUCCCUAAAAAUAACCCAACUUAUUUAAAUAGAACUUUUACAAAAAAAAAUUUAGUUAUUUGGUUGUCAAUAAACUUUUCAAGUAUACUUUGUUUGGUACAGCUUUUCAAGUAAAACUUAUUUAAGUAGAGCUUUUACAAAAAAAAAAAAAUUAGUUGUUUGGUUGUCAAUAAAAAUUUUUAUUAAAAAAAAUAUGAAAUUACUUUAUUAGUCAAGUUUUUUUAAAGUUAUGCUAUGAAAAGAAUAAAAUAAGAUUGUCAAAUAAAUAGAAAAUAUUUUAAAUAUUUUAACAUUUAAAAAAACUUUUUAACCUUUAUUUUCAAAAAUCUAAAAUUUAAACUUUUACUAGUAAAGGCAAAAUAAUUUAUUUAAACUUCAAAAGCUUUAUUAGAAAAAUAAUCAAACAAUAACAAAAAUUAUUAUAAAAGCUUAUCGAAUUAAAUAAGUACUUAUAGUUAUUAAAGAAGUUAUAUCUAACAGACACUAAUGCCGAAAGCCCCUUCUAAUUGUGGGUGUAAAAGUUUGAAUUAUGCAUACGGUUAAGGAGUUAAGGUGUGUUUGGCAACUGCAUUAAGUGGAAAUUUUUAUUUUGUUUCGAAUAAAAAUACAGCAAGCUCGUGUUCGGCUCAAAAUAAUGGAACGUUUAAUUUGCAACCGUCGGCGGACGAAGCACACCGUUCACGGCCCUUCGUAUAAAAUUGCAUAUGUAAACGUAAAUAGGUCCGGAUUCAGAUUCGUUGCUGUAGAGAGUGGCACGCACGAUCGGGCUGCUGUCGGUGGUAGGUUGGCAUUGGAAUUCUCAUCACGCGCUUCCCCAGGCGCCUACUUAUGGCAAAUUGACACGUGACGCGUGUGGAUUGAAUGGACAGAGUCCCGGGCAGUGUGUCCAAAGCUGCCAACCGUGCUCUGAUUUUUGUCAUCCAUAAUGGCUAACGACUAACGAGGGAGAUUUCCGGGCAGAAAGAAAUUGUUGUCGUUUCUGAAGGGGAAAAAAAAGUUAUUUAAUUUGUUGUUGAAGACAAAAUGAAGAUCUAAAUAAAUAAUGGCUAAUUUUGAGUGUAAAGCAACGGUAAAUGCAUUAUUAAAUUAGAUUUAGGGUCUGAUUGAGAUUAUUUUUAGAUUUAAAAUUAAUUUUGAAAAGUUAAAAUUAAUUUUGAUGUUUAUUAAUUUUUAUUAAAAAUUAUUUUUGUCAAAAUCUCUCAUCCUCCAGCAUAUUAUAAAAAAUAAGGAAGAAAUAAUUUUUUAAAAUUUAAUUUUAAGAAUCAGUUUUAUACUUAAUAUAAUCCACAUAUAUCCUCGUAAAUAUUAUAAAAAUUUAAAAUUAUUCUUAUUUAUUUAGGAUAUAAAAUUAUUAAAUUCAAACAUAUUAUUAUUAUUAUUAUUAUUGUUAUUAUUAUUAUUAUUAUUAUAAAUUCACACACGCACACACAUACUUAUAAAUUUAUAAAUAAACUUUAUUUAACAUUUUGUUCACUUAAAUCAUUUAUAUUCUUAUAGCAGUUUAACAUUAUGAUUUACCAAACACAGAUAAUUAUUUUUAAAAUCCAUAAUAUUUUUUAAAAUAAAUUUUAAUAAAUGUUUAACUUAUUAUUCUGACAACUGAUUUUUUUUGUAAGGUAUAACCAUUAAUAAUAAAUAUUUUAAAAGUUACAGUAUCCCCAAAUUGGCCCUUACUAAUACUCUGCGUUGCCAACUAAAUACUAAUUGUAACAUUAAACAUCUGGAAUAUUUUUCUCUAACGAAACAACACAAUUAAUUUCCCUCUAAAAAAGAAAAAGAAAAAGAAAAAAUAAACUACCAACCCCACCCCUUUAGACAGCAGAGUUUUAGCUGAGGCGGCUUGCUUGCAUAAGCAUUAAGGCUGCUCUUCACCAACCAUUGAACAUUCUUUCCAUUUGAUUGUUACACUUUACUUCGCCAUCUCAUGUCCAUGUACAUUGUUUUGAAAUGAAGACUUUGCGUACAACUAAUCUUUUUCAAUUCAUAAUAAAAACUCUUUUAAUUAGUUAAUAGCUAUAGCUUCCAAUUGAGACUAUAUAUAAAAAUCCAUAUUGACUGACCAAACCAAUAAUUUUUAAUUGGCUUGAGCAUUGUCUUACUUACUUCAAAAUCGUCACUCUCUUUGAAAAGAACAUGAGAGAGUUCACCUCCAUCUCAACCCUUAACCCUAUAUCUCAGUCAAGAGAUUAUUCAUGGAAAAUUCAGAAAAAAGAAAUGUUGCAAUAUUUACGAAACUCACGUCACGUGAGGUAAGAUAAAUUAUUCCUUUCUGCUUUAAUUCAUGUACAUAAUCAUGAGAAUAACUUUAAUUAUAGUUUAUUUCUCCGUUUUAAGAUUUUUCCUUUUUUUUUUUUAAUUAAUUAAUUAUAGUUCAUUCAUUAAUCCCAUAAGAAAUUAACACCUUUGCCGGUAAAGUCACACAUACAACAAUAUUUUAGAACAAAAGGGAAGAUCAUGCACGAUCAUGAUGUUUUAUUAUAUCUCUAGCAAUAUAAUUAUCUUAUAAUUAAUUAAAAACAAAACAGGUAAUUAAGCCAAAGUGGAUGGCAUGCAUCAAUCAUCAUGCAGAACACCUCCCCUUGUUUUAAAUAUAAAUAAAAGAAAUUUGUGCCCAGAAGACUUAAUUAAUACUUCUCGUUUCUGAAGUGCUCACAUGAUAUAUAGUCGGACGCAUUAUAUUUAAUUUCAUGAAUUAAUCGUACGGUUGUAUUUUGAGAGAGAGAGAGAGAGAGAGAGUGACUGAGUAAGAUAUGGCUUAAUUUAACCAAAUCUACGUAUAAAAUUUUAAAAUGAAUUUUUGAGUUUUAACUUAGGAAUUGUCUAUGAAUAAAAGUGUUAAUCAAAUAUUUCGUGUAAAAACAGUCAGCUGUAACAUUUUCGGUUGCUUUAACAAAACUGUAUAUUUCUGUAAUUUCCUAUAUGGGCCAAAAGGAACAUUUUUCUCAGAAAUUAAAAACUUAUGGUGAAAAAGAUAAGAAAACCAACAGGUUCAAAGGUGCGAGUAAACUGGGCUCUGGUGCGCCCAACUCCCUCUUUUGAUUUUGAGACUCUAUUGACCAUUGAGUUUGAGGCCCCAACGGCCCAGUUUAAAACUGUUAUGAAAAGAAAAAAAAUAUAACUAUAAAAUUAAAAUUAAUAAUGUUUGAUAAAUAUAAUUUUUAAAUAAUAAUUUGACAAAAAUAAUAUAGGGUCUUGUGUAUAUUUUUAUUUGGCAUUUCAAUUAAUCUGCUUAUAUAUAUAUAUAUAUAAGUUAAUCUAUAUUUCUUGCAAGAAGAUAGUAUUUCUUUAAUUAAAGUCAUAACUAAUAUAUAAAUUAUCAACUAACCAUCAAACAUUUAUCUCAUUUUAUCUCCACCACGAUCAUCACCAUUCAUCCUGUCACGAUCUUUAUGUAACUACAAUUAUUUUUUCUUUAAUAAUGUCAACCCACCAACCCCAUAACAAUAUCUCCAAACAUCUCAUCUCAAAAUUCCUAAUAACAUAAGUGUUUAUGUAUGAAAGAAAAUGUGAAAUAUAUAAUCAAAAAGUAGUUUAAUAAUAUAAUGUUUAAAAAUUAUGGUAAAAAUAAGUGAGAGUUUGGCAUGGCAAGUUAAUAAAAAGAUAAAAGCUCGGACACUUGAUGCAUCAAAGUAGCAAUGUCUGUCCAUCAUUAUCAUCAUGCGGGUUUAGGUGCUUCUCAUGAUAGCAUUAGCUGGUAAGACCAUCAUGCAUCGUACUUUCAUUGUUAUACAUUUUGAAGGUAAGAAUGGUUAUGUUACGUCCCUCCGAUUAGGUGUAUUUUUCUUCUUCUUCUUCUUCUUUUUCUUCUUCUUGUACGUAAUAAUUUCUCUUUCUUCCAUGAAGAUUUCUUUCUCUCUUUCUUUUUUUUUUUUUUAUUAUAAAUAAAAUGAUAAGAACUAAUUUCCUUACUAAUUGGUAGGGUCGUUUAAUGGUUCAGAUCCAUUAGAUUUUGUCAAAUUCAAGUCCAAUCCAUCAUAUAUUCCAUUUUAUAUUCCGGAUCCGAUCACUAAUAGAAAUCCAUUAUAAUUUAAAACAAUAAAACGUCGAAUCCAAUUUAAUUCGAUAUGAUCAAUCCAAUUAAAAUAAAAAUUUACAAAUAAAAAUCAUUAGUUGCUCUCUCCAGUUAUAAUUCUUAACAAUUAAAAAAAAUACAAAAUAUCAACUCCUUUAAUAUUUCAUGAUUCAUGUACUUUAUUAUCAUAUGGUUGGAAAAAAAAGUUGAAAUUUGAAUAUUAAAAGCAAAUGUUGGUUGCGACCUGCUGUUUGUAUUCUAUAUUGUUAUAGUAUAUUUAUAGUUAUUUUUUUAGCAAGUUAAAUAUAAAAGUGACAUAUAGUUUUUUUUUAUAAAAAAAAAUAAAUAAAGAAAAUAAAAAAUUAAUUGGUUGGAUUGGUUUAUAUUGGAUUUGAACAUAUAGAUCCAUAGACCAAUCUAAUAACAUUAUAUUUUUUAUUUUGCAAUCUUAUCCAAUCCAAUCAAAAUGUCAAUAUGACAAAAGUUGGAUUGGUUUUGAUCAGAUCGAUUGGUUUGAUUGGAUUGAAUUGAAUUAGAUCUUGAACAUCCUACCAAUUAGACUUUCCGUGAUUUUUUUUUUUCCAAAUUUAAUAAAGAGACUUCCCAUGAAUGUUAAAUGCAGUUUUAUUGAUGAAUUCUGCAAUUUUAAGAAAUGUUUGAUACACGAAUAAUGCAUCUCAUCAACCAAGUAACUGCGUCCCCUGCAGCAGCCGCGGCUUCAACUGGAAUACUGCAGCCACACCGGUCUUGAGACUCAACAUUCGGCCGAAACUCAAGCAAAAGUUGAACAAUAUCAGGCCUGCUUUGAGCUAUAGCAAUAUGAAGCAAUGUUUGUCCCUGCGCACCAGCAGAAUCAGCUGGGUGGGUUCCAAGCAGGGUCACUCUGUUCAAGAACCUCUCUUAUCUCAUCCAUUUCACCAUCCUUAACUAGCUGAACCACAACAUGGGACCCAACAAACAUGAUCUUGAUUCCUAUUGAUGAACGCUGGCUUCUUCCUUCUUGUGAACCAGUCACCAGGAACCGAAUCAAGCAUCAAUGUUGCAUCUUUAAUUGCAGCUGCAGGAACGACAACGCUAUGCAAGAGGAAGGAAUCAUCACAGUGAGGGAAAGUAUGAAGGAGAACUGAUCCUGGAGGAAGAUGAUACGCAAUCUCUAUGCUUACUGUUCCGAGUGGUUGCAUUGACCUGAAUAGUUCGAUCUAUUUCUCGUGUAUCUACUUGCGCUGCACUUUCACUCGAAGAACCUACAAAAUUAUUCAUAACCCGGCAUAAAAAAGACGUAAAGUUUUCAGCGCGAGCAUGGUAACUUCAAAACCCGUUUCAUACCUAUCAUAUUUCAUUCGUCCCGCACCCUCAUUUAAAAGACUAGAGCUUAUAAAAACUAGAAGUACCUUACCCAGAACAUAAAAGCAGACAAAACCCAGUCGAGUAUAAAUAUAACGUUGAAUAACACCUACCAUUUACCAUUUCAUUCAAGAACACCACACAAUUAACGAAACCAACAUCGGUAUGUUUUCAGCCGUUGUACUUUCAACUUAAUUUUGAAAGCGCGGCAGCUAAAGCCUAAACUGUUGUUUGAUAAAAGUCCACCCACUGACUGCUACCUGGCGGCUACCGAUUCCAUUCAAUAGCAGUCAUAAAAUAAAAAGUACAAAACAAACCUAUGUACAAAAAAGGCAAUGAAGCAGCCAUGGAUUCAGUUAUUUGCAUGUUUGGGAUUGUGGUUGAUUCCAAAUUGAGAAUAUACUGCGAAAUUAUGUUUGAUAAGCAUUUAUCUGAUGAUUGCUACUUUAUUGAGUGCCUGUUUGGUAUGGCUUAUUUAAAAGCCAUAAGUGCUUAUUUAAUCGUAUAAGCACUUUUUUAAAAUUUUUAUGGUGUUUGGUUAUUUUUUUAGUAGAGUUUUUUUAGCUUAAAUAAGCUAAUUUACCUCUACUAGCAAAAGCCCAAAAUUUGAGCUUUUGGGAGUAGAGGUUAAAGAGCUUAUCUAAAAAAUAUAUAAUAAAAAAAAUAUCAUACAGUUUAAUGAUUCAAAAGUGUUUUUUUUAUUGACAACCAAACACCCAAUGACUUUUUGUCCAAAAACUCUAUUGGUAUAAGCUCUAUUGUUAUAAGCUCUAUUUAAUAAGCUGUACCAAACGGAGCCUGAGUCUUCAAAGAAAAACUCAAUCAACUAAUGCUCGAUUUUUUUUUUUAAAUGACAAAUCAAAAAGUAUUUUGGAGUAGAUUCUCAAAAGAGUGAUUAUUUGAUAAUCCACCAUAAUCCCACUUAGUUAUCAGAAAUAAAUUAAAAUCCGACGAAUGUUACUUAAGCCAAACAGCAUUAUUUUAUUUUGACCACAAGGACCACAACCCUCAAGCUGUCAAGCAACCGUUACCGUUAACGACCAAUCUUUCACCUCUCCGAAUCUUUGCAAGUCACUAUCAAGCAACCGUUACUAAUAUUUAAUCAAUUAUUAGGAUUAUUGGAUUUCUCAAAUACCUUAUGUACUUUGGUUCACUUUCUACUAAAAUAAAUAUUACAGGAGCUUUCAAAGUCUAGGCUAAGGUUGUUGUAAACAUAGAGAGAUUCAGAGAUAUAACAGCUUGUAAUUACAUACCACAAAGCAUAACUUUGUUCGAAUGAUAAUGAUCAUAAUCCAGAUUAUAGACGUAGAGAGAGGAGAAGUCGUACUUGAGGGGCAAAACGCGGCGUUUUGGCUCGUGGAUGAGGUGCUGCUCCUGAUCGUCGUAGAUUGAAGGGAGGAGAGGUCGGUCGAGGAAGUUUAGGAGACGGUGGAGGCUGAAUUGGUGAAUUUCGAUGAAGACUGACGAAUCCAAUGGGGCUUGAGGGUUUGAUUUGCAAAGAUGAAAGAUAAGAGCAUUGUUUUGGUUUCUGUGCAAAAAAAAAAAAAAAAAAACAUGACAAGCGUUGUUUUGGUUUUGGUUCUAAAAAGAUGAAAAUUUGACUGCAAUGGAUCCAUACGCAGUCGGUGUCAAAUAAGAGGAGAAACAAAUAUGUUAAUCACUCGCUCAAUCACUCAUGCGAAGUGCCUUUUUUUUCGUUGCUUUGGCUUCUGAGAAAUAUAUGCAUCAGAUAUUACAACUCUCGAGGAUAAUGCAUUUUGUUCCGGUUUUGACUGAUAUUUAGUGGCAUUUGAUAAACUGAUACCUCAGAACCUGGUAGAGAGUUUAUUAAAUACAAAGAGAACAAAAAUAUAUGACUAUAUAAGCUUUUACACGGUUGAAGAUCCGGUCAAAUUGGCUUUAGUUAGCAAGAUCAUUUAAAACUUUCAAAAAACGAAUGGUAUCAAAAAGCUCUGAGAAAAAGCGGAAAAAAGGCACCACAAAGAUCUUGCAAUUAUUAUCACAGCUUGAUAAGACAUGGAAAUGUAUCUUACAAAUUGGCCUUCCAAGCAUCAAAGAAUUGGGUGGCGACAACUCCCAUUCCUAGCUGCUACCGUGGCCAGUCCCUUCUAACUAAAAUGGGACAGGACCAAAAGCAAGGUCUCUCCCACUCUCCUUAUGUAUAUAAAAUUCCCUACAUUCGAAUAAAACUACAGAAAAAGAUUUGCACAUCAUCUUCUUUCACCUUAUUUUGCAAUCUUCAAGAGUUUGGAAGAUUUCAAAGCACUUGUUAGAAUGUAGCACUCCAUUAAGCAUUCUCACCUUCCCCACACCCCAAUGGACCUCCUUAAUCCUAUCGGCAGACCUACAAAUUCUGCUGCAACUCCAAUCAAAUAAAGCAACACAAUUGUUGCCUGCCUAAGCCUUCCACUCACAGCCUGCAAUGACAAGUUCAUGAUACAAAAUCAGAAACAUUAAUAAACAAAAAGAUAUUACCAUUACUUGCAGAGGGGGAUUUGUUGCAAUUAGUAAAUGCCAUACUUAUCACUUUCAUUGCAGAUAUCAUCAUCAUCAUAAUACUAGCAAUCCAGCACUAAUAGUCAGAAUAAUAAUAAUAGUAGCAUGAAUAAAGAAUUUCUGCAGAGUAAGCUCUAAAGAUGCCGAAAGUGUCAUCUAUUAUGUUAAUAAUAAAAAAGUCUAUCAAGAAUUCAAGGAAAGAAAACUCAUUAACAAAGAACUAAACUUUUUAAUAAUGUUUAAUAAACUACGUACCUAUGAUUUUCUAUUAUUAACAUAAAUGACACUACGUACAACUGAUUUUCGCUUUCUAAUGUUUCAAAUCAUACCGAGAAAUAUAACAAUUACCAAGUCAGUAAGUAGCACAAUUACUUAAUAAGACUUUGACUUGUCUAACCCAAAAUUGUACCCAAUUCUAUACUCUACCAUGAAAAGCUUAUGAAGCCGAACUUACUUUGACCAAACAGUACUAUUAGCUCAGUUAAAGGAAACCACAAUUGAACAAAGUUCAGCUGAAAUAACUGAACUAAAAAAACUUGAUAAAAUUAAAAGUAACUUAUAACAGUUUAGUAAAGAAGCAUACAAAACAUGAAGAUAAAUAAACAUAGGUCUAUUUUCUUGACACUACCAGGUCCUUUCCUUUUUUUUUUUUCAGAUAAGAUCUCGAUACUACCAAGUUUUGGAUUCAAAAUCACCAUAUUACAAUAAUAGUUGUGAUUCAUGGGAUACAAUAUGUAGCAGCUUAUAUGUCGGCAAUUAUAGUCAAAGAUGGUUGUCAAACAUCAUCGCAAAUCAAGAAGCUAAUAAAGACCAUGUCACACUACAUUAACAUAUAUCAGUUCUUUGAUACAAAGAUAUUGAAUGUUAUACAUUUCUAAUCCCAAGUCCUGAAAUACAAAACAAAAGUUCACUUCACACAGUCAUAAAGCUAGACUGCUAGAUAAAUGGACAAUAGGCAUUGGAUAUGGGUCAAUAAACUAUUAAGCUAAUUAAUGCACACGAAGGAAUCCGUUAGAGCUAGUAAAAUAGCCCUUACCAGAGAACUCGCAGAAGCAUUCAAUUUCCUCAAAGGAGAUAACUUACAACAUAAACAUUUUGAUAAGCAGCAACACACAUAAAAUAGCUUCACUCACUAGCAACAGAGCAACUUCUUCAACACAUUAAUAAAUCCAUUUUCAUUUUUAAACAACAAAAUAAUGCCCAGUUUCUCCAGCACAAAUAGGGUAAGCAGUAAUAGAAAAACAUGAUACAUAGGAAUUACCGGCCUCAAGAAAUCUCCAAGCUUUCUGUCCUCUGCUUCAAUUGCUCAAUCAAGAAUGCCCCAGACGUUGCGCUAGCGUGGUGGUGGAGCGUCGCGAAGCGUGUGGCGGCGGUGUCGGCGAAGGCAGGUCAUGAAGAUAGUUGGUGUCGCGCAGCGAAGGCAGUGCAGCUGGUGUCAUGCGGCGAAGGCAAAUCGCGUGGUGGUGGAGUUGGGGUCGCGCGGCAGUGGCGGUGCGGUGCUGAGGCAUAAUAGUGGCGGUGGCGUUGUGCGACAGUGGCAGUGUGGAGGCAGAUUGCGUGGAGCUGGCGGUGUUGAGGCAGAUCGCGUGGAGGCAGAUGCCGCGGUGGUGGAGUUGCUGUCGCGAUCAACGCCUGUGAAAGGGAAUGAAAGUGAAGGAGAUACCUACAAAAGAAAGAACGAGUGAAAUUUUUUUUUUUGUUCAAGGGUUUCAAACCCACAUAAACCCGACUCUCACACGGGUUCAGUAAGUUUAUGCGGGUUUGACUGCAUUACAAAUUGGUAUGACCACAACAACAGUACAAUGAUUGGUAAUUACCAAACAUGCUAUUUAUGUUGGUAUUAAAUUAAUUUAAUACAAUGAGGAGUGGUAAUAUCAUACAAUGAGGACUGUUAAAUAUGGUGUGUUUAAUAUGUUGUAUUGUAUUAUAUUAUUUUAAUACAAAUAUAUUAUAUUAUCUUGUAUUAUAAUAAUAUUAUAUAAUAUUUUGUGCUACAUUGUGUUGUAUUAAUUUAUAAUUAUAAUAUAUUUAAUGUUGCACCACGCUGUACUAAUUUUUUUAGUAAUCAAUUUAAAUUAUAUAUUUUACAAAUAAUAUUUAUUAAAAUACUUAAAAAUGCUAAAUAUGAAAAUAUUGAAUUUUAAAAAUUUAAUAUUAUUUUUUUAAUAUAAAUAUUAAAAAAUAUCAUAAUUCUUCAUAGAAAUCGAAGUUCAUGGCAUUAAAUUUUUAACGCCGCAUACAUAAUAAAAAAUUUGAUUCUCUAGUGCCAAUAUAAUAGAAUACAUAAAAACGAGACUGAGAAACUACGAAUAAAGCUCAUCAUCAAGGACUCCACAACAUUAUAAGAAGUACUAUGUAACAUUUGCCAAAUUACAACACCACAUCAAGACAUAUCACAAUGUAAAAUUUUUCCUAGAGAUUUGGUAAUUGAAAAACACAAUUCAAGUUGAAAACUGAUAGUCGACUUGAAAAGUUUUAACAUAUCCCAUAAAAGAAAUGUGCCAUGCCAAAAAUCCUAACCCUUGGCUCUUUGACGAUAAGAAAAUAUUGAAAAUUCCAAAGUACAGUGCAAUGGGAGAAAGAAUGCCUAUAAAGCUAGUAAAGAUAUUCUUAAACUACUAUUGGGAUGUUGGGCUGGUUGGUAGCAAAACCCAAACCCUGCUGCUGAUUUCCGAUACCACCAUCUUGGAUAAGCCGCUCUCCCUCCUCUUCCUAACUCCUAAGCCCAAUAUCUUUCCAAAACCUUCACAACCCACUCAUAAAUCUCAUUGUUGUCGUGGAUAUGCAAAUUCUCAAUCUUUUCUACUCCAUCACACUCAUCAAUCAUUUGGGUAUAAACAUUAACCCAAUUAUCCAUUCCUAUUUCCUUGUUAACCUCACCCACCUUGAAAAUGUUCUCAAGACCCUAUAGACAAACUGUGACGAUCCUUUGGUCCAGACAAACCAGAAGAUCACAGAGCGGUUUGAUGCAACCUUGGCUCACCAGGAAUCUGCAGGACCAUGGUACCAUAAGUGAUUCUAUCACAUGAACAUCAUUAGAUUAAAAAAAGAAAAAAAAAAGAAACAUCUAUCGUAUGAACAUUGCUGAGUGAAUAAAAGAAACAUACUGAAUAUGUUCAUGAGAUCCUCCAUAUGUGGCAUUUAAGACAGGCCAUGCAGCCUCCUUGAUUUCAAGUUCUGCAUGUUGAAGAAGAGGUGCACAAAAGGAAGGAUAAGGAAGGAUGAUAUUGGCCUCCAUAACAGCCUGUUGAACAAAAAUUCGACAAAUUAUAAUUAUGAGUAUAUUUAAGUAGCAAUUUUGUCAGAAUUAACUAGACUUGACUAUUGAGGAAGUCACAUUCAAAAAUAGAAAAGACGAGCAAGCAAUUGUAUUCAUGCUAUCGGGACCAAAAUACUAUGAUGCAAGCAAGAAAGAAAAACAUACAUACAUAUAAAACACUAUCUUUGAGUUGGGUAUUUUCUUUCAAUUUUGAUAAUGGCAACUUUGGAUUCUUCUGCUGAAUUACCACCACCACCACACCAUUGUAGUUUCACAUACUAAGAAAAGGCAGGUUCAGCUCCCGUGCAUGCCCAUAAGAAUAUGAUGUAUUAAUUAGAAGUAAAAUUAAUCUGUUCAAUUAAGUUCUCUCAUAUAUUUGUGUGCGUGUGUGUGUUAAUUAGUUUGCUUUCAAAUCUUUUCUCCCUUCUUAAUGAUAUAUAUUUUAAGCAUGAUAUCAACCACGAUGAAUUUAUUAGCCGAUUUUUAAUUAUACAUUCAGCAUGAUAUCACAAACCAAGAGCUUAAGUUAGCCUAAUUCUUCAUAAAUCUAAUAAUUGCAAUCAAUAAUAAUGCUGAAAAUACGAGUUUGAAUUAAGCUAGCAACUGGUUCUUAAAUUAUGCAAUAUGUAAUCAUAGGUUUACUUAAAGAUUAAAGCAUUUCUGCAAUCCAUUGUGCAAAAAGAUUAAAAAAAAAAAAAAUAGUUGCCAAAUUUUAUCUAAAUAAAAAUUCCUUUAGUGGUUAGUACUUGUGAAUUAUAGAAAUUAUUAUUAGUACUUGCUCAGCGCUUUUUAGAUUUGUACAGGUAGAUUACGCCAUUUCAAACCCGACCAUCCAUUUAGACAUACAAAUCCCCCCAAUUCCCUGUCCUCCGCCUUUACGCGACUCUCCACUGUAUGUGCCAACUAAUUAAUUUUUUAAUUACUUGUUUAACUAAUUAAUUCAUUUUCUCAAAAGCAAGAUUAAUCUAUUUGUUCAAAUCUGAAGGAGAUUAAGUUAAUUGAUUUUAUUGUAUGUAAAAAUAUACAAAGAACUCAUGAAGCCAACUAGAAAAAAAAAAAAAGACAAAAAAAAAAUCAAACCCAGAAAUAAAAAGACAUGCUUCGACAGAAAAUUAAUGAAAAUUAUACUGAUUGUGGUUCAAUUUGAUCAAACCCAAAUAAUAACCGGUUUGAUUGAUGACUCAGCGGCAAAGUGCAGGCGCAUCAGUGGUUGCACAGAUGAGUGUUCUCGUGCGGCACGACAAAGCAAUUGUCGGCGAUUGUGAUUGGUGAUGACAUCGAGCGAUGGGGGUAAUGGCAUCGGUCGUGACUUUGUGAUGGAGAAACGAAUGUUAGAUUCGUUCGAAGAUUCGUGUUUUGAUUGAAUAACAAAGAGAGAUUUUAUGAGUUUUAAUUAUCUAAUACGAUACCGCAUAAACCCGACUCGUACGUGGGUUUAUUUUAUGCGGGUUUCGGUGUACUAAAGCAGUAAAUUUAUGUGGUGCAAUUCAAACUGAUUUCACCGCCAAAAGAUCGUGUAAAUUUAAUAUUAUACAGGGUUUUAAUACUAUGUAAUCCAAUACACCAAACAUGCCCUUAAAAACGGAUAGCAAUCCGGGGCCUUUAAAAACGGAUAGCAAUCCGGGGCCUUUAAAAACGGAAAAUACAAGCAGAGAAAAAGAAAAGCCAAUUGUUCAAAAGUGCCUAAUAUGCCCACGGAAAAUUUUCGUCACGACCCACAGUUACUCGAAUAGGUAAUAAGACAGGAAUGCCUUUGUUUGUUCGAAUAUAGAAGCACAAUGGCUCAGAAAGGAUCCCUCCAAUCUCCUUGGCACUGUCAGCUGGGUGCGGAGUAGCUUGGUGGCAGCAACCAUGUUUGAGAGGGCUGGCUUCACCUCAGUGUACUUGCGAGUCUUGAGACCACAGUCAGGGUUAACCCACAAAAUGUUGGUUUCUAGCACAGUACGCAUCUCGUAGAUUCUGUCAACAAUUUCUUCGGUUGAUGGUAUUCUUGGAGAGUGGAUGUCAUAGACGCCAGGGCCAAUUGCAGCAUCAUACUGGACUCCCUCACGGAAGACUGACAGGAGAUUCUCAUUAGAACGAGAGUUCUCAAUGGUGAUCACAUCAGCAUCCAUGUCGAUAAUUGAGUGGAUAAUGUCGUUGAAGUUGGAGUAGCACAUGUGGGUGUGGAUCUGUCAAUCAAUAAACAAUAGAAUGAGAUACAAAAUCAACAGCUAAAUUAAAGAGAUGAGAUUGGAGAUUAAAAGGGUAACUGACCUGGGUAGUGUCCUGGAUGCCACAGUUGGUGAUUCUGAAGGAGUGGACUGCCCAGUCCAAGUAGAAAGCAUGCUCAGAUUUCCUGAGAGGCAAUCCUUCCCUCAAGGCAGCCUCAUCAAUUUGAAUAACGUUAAUGCCUGCCUUCUCAAGAUCCUCGACUUCGUCCUUGAUGGCCAAAGCAAUCUGGUAGCAGGUUUCAUGUCUGCAAAAUUGGCAGCGAUUGAUGUUAAACAAUGUUUCCAUUCCAAAAGGUUAACCAAUAGUGAACCAGUUCUCAUUUAUAUACCUGGGCUGGUCAUUUCUGACAAAGGACCAGUUGAGAAUGGUGACAGGGCCAGUAAGCAUUCCCUUCAUUGGGCGAGCAGUCAUGCUCUGAGCCCAGGAGGACCAGAAGACGGUCAUAGCCUUGGGACGGCUCACAUCACCAUAGAUGAUGGGUGGCUUCACACAGCGAGAUCCAUAGGAUUGCACCCACCCAUUGGCAGUGAAGGCGAAACCUGAUAACUGCUCUCCAAAGUACUCAACCAUGUCGUUUCUCUACAAAAACAAAUGUCCGAAUUCAAUUUGAGAUCCAGCAUACUUCGUAUGCAAUUAGAAAUGCAGAAACAAAAAUGUAUAAAAUUUUAUGUAAUUCAAAACCAGGAGACAUUGCUUUGCUUCCAUUGGGCAUUGCGAGACUCACCUCAGGCUCUCCAUGGACAAGGACAUCAAUAUCAAGCUCUUCUUGGAGUUUGACAACCUUGUUGAUUUCCUCCUUGAUGGAAGCAACAUAUUCUUCCUCAGAAAUCCUAAAAAGGACAAAUAGUCACGGCACAGUUAAUACAGUAGUUGCAGUAAUUUCACACAUGGCAUUGAAUGAAGAAACACCUCAGAUUGACUCACUUCUUAGCCUUGUAUUCACGGCGGACUCUCCUAAGUUCAAUGGUUUGUGGGAAGGAUCCAAUUGUGGUGGUUGGGAGGAUUGGAAGAUUGAGCUUCUUCUGUUGAGCAUCUAAUCUAGCACUAACGUUUGUAGCACGUCUGUGGUCUGAUCCCCUCAAAGCAGCAGCCUAAUAGACCAAGAGGAAGGAAUCACUGUUAGCAAAAAAGGAAAUUCUAAGGGACAGCCACAUCAUAAAAAUGGAAAACAAAUCAAUCAUGCCACUUACAGCCUUUUGAACUGCCUCAUUGGUCACUCUCGGGGAGGACUUUCUUGAAGCCUGAGCUGCAGCAUUGGCAGAGAAGAAUCCCUGGAAACAAAUGAUAAGGAGAACCAAAGUUAGUCUCAUUCAUAUCAUUUUAAAAAGAAGAUACAUAUGCAAUUAGUGGGCUGAUUGUGAGAGAAAAAGUCCCCAAAACUUUAAUCAAACACCAAAUGCCCAAGUUGCCAAAUGAUGUUUAAUUCGGAAAAAUAUAUUUAAAAACAUUCAAAUAUAAUUUCCCCUUCUAAAUUUUCAUUUUCAACAACAUAUUUUACAAGCCAAGCUCAACGUCAGGCCAAGAUUUUGUGCUCCUAUAAUUAUAUUUUACCAUAAAACUAGGUCCUUGAAAGGCUAAGAUUUUCUGACUCUUGUGACUAGUCAAAGCCUAAGAUUCUUUCAAUUCAUCCGUAGUAAAAGUAUACCUCAUCCUUUUGGCCAGCCAAAGCCUUGGCCAAUGCAUUGACUUCAACAACUUUCUGGGCAGCAAAUGCCAGCCAUGACUUGAUUUCGUCGUCGAGUUUGUUCUCAUUAACAAGAUCAACAGCAGUGUGAAGAAGUGAGCAGGAGGUGGAGACCACAAGCUUGUCUGCAAAGAAAAGUAAUAAAUUAUACAACAAAUCCCAUAAUAGAAUAAGAAAUAUUUAUCACAAAGAAAAAUGCAAGCAAAGGAUGUAUACCUUUGCCAACAACACCCUCAAGCCCCCGGAGAACACUAAGAGAAGCAGCAAGAUCAUUGGCCCAAAUGUUCCUUCCAUCAACCACUCCAGCAAAGAGGUACUUGCCAGCAGGGAAUCCACUCUUGAUCAAUUCAAGGGUCUUGGUUCCACGAACCAAAUCAAAUCCAUAAGCGGUGACACCCUUCAAAGAAGUGAGGGUCUGGAAUGCCUCAGCUGGAACAUCAGCAAAGUAGGUCUCAACAAGAACAUUCAAGCCAGAC
rnacentral:lncRNA from 1 species